UACGUAGGGUGCAAGCGUUGUCCGGAAUUAUUGGGCGUAAAGAGCUCGUAGGCGGUCUGUCACGUCGGCUGUGAAAUCCCGAGGCUCAACCUCGGGUCUGCAGUCGAUACGGGCAAACUAGAGUAUUGCAGGGGAGACUGGAAUUCCUGGUGUAGCGGUGAAAUGCGCAGAUAUCAGGAGGAACACCGGUGGCGAAGGCGGCCCUCUGGACCGUUGCUGACGCUGAGACGCGAAAGCGUGGGGAGCAAACAGG
rnacentral:rRNA from 1 species